UUACUCAACGUCAACAAAACAAAGGAGAUGAUCGUGGACUACAGGAAACAGCAGAGGGAGCACCACCCCAUCCACAUUGACGGACAGUAGUGAAAAGUGUCUGUCCGUCCUUAGAUGCCCUCUGAGUCCUGGAGAGUAAGAGCAGCGCGUAUCAGUUCAGCUUCAACACAAACCAUGUUCCCUGCAUCUCCGCUGCUGCUGGCAGCUGCCUCCUGUGUCUACUGGGAUAUUGAACUCAUCCAGUCUGAUCCAAUGGUUAUAAAACCAGGAGAGUCUUUCAGCAUCUCCUGUAAAUUCUCAGGGUUUUCUAUAUCGUCUUAUUGUCCUGCAUAGAUACGACAAGCUGAAGGCAAAGCUUUGGAGCAUGUUGGUCAUACAUGCACUAGUAGUACUUCUACUGCAGACUCACUAAAGAGCAAGAUCACUUCUAGUUAUGUCAGCACCAGCAGUACAGUGUUUCUACAAGGGAACAACUUCCAGACUGAAGACACAGCUGUGUAUUAUUGUGCUUGGCGAACACAGUGAUACAAACCACAACCAGAGCUAUAAAAAAAAAACUUUCUCCAGUGAUUCAUUGGACACUGCUCAAAAAAAUAAAGGGAACACUUAAACAACACAAUGUAACUCCAAGUCAAUCACACUUCUGUGAAAUCAAACUGUCCACUUAGGAAGCAACACUGAUUGACAAUACAUUUCACAUACUGUUGUGCAAAUGGAAUAGACAACAGGUGGAAAUUAUAGGCAAUUAGCAAGACACCCCCAAUAAAGGAGUGGUUCUGCAGGU